rnacentral:rRNA from 1 species
UACGAAGGGGGCUAGCGUUGCUCGGAAUCACUGGGCGUAAAGCGCACGUAGGCGGAUUGCUAAGUCAGGGGUGAAAAUCCUGGAGCUCAACUCCAGAACUGCCUUUGAUACUGGCGAUCUCGAGUCCGGGAGAGGUGAGUGGAACUGCGAGUGUAGAGGUGAAAUUCGUAGAUAUUCGCAAGAACACCAGUGGCGAAGGCGGCUCACUGGCCCGGUACUGACGCUGAGGUGCGAAAGCGUGGGGAGCAAACAGG